rnacentral:rRNA from 1 species
UACGAAGGGGGCUAGCGUUGCUCGGAAUCACUGGGCGUAAAGCGCACGUAGGCGAAUUGCUAAGUCAGGGGUGAAAUCCUGGAGCUCAACUCCAGAACUGCCUUUGAUACUGGCGACCUUGAGUCCGGGAGAGGUGAGUGGAACUGCGAGUGUAGAGGUGAAAUUCGUAGAUAUUCGCAAGAACACCAGUGGCGAAGGCGGCUCACUGGCCCGGUACUGACGCUGAGGUGCGAAAGCGUGGGGAGCAAACAGG